UGCCAGGGCAGGAGCACCCCUGGCACCUGGGAACCUGCUGAGCCUCAGGACAGGACCACAGUGUCCCCACCAGAGGCCAGGACAGCUGCCCCUGCACACCCUGGAGGAUCCAUCCCUUCCUGAGCAGAAGCUGGGACGUUCAGGAUGGACAUGUGCUCUGUGGGGCUCUGGUGCCCUGAUAAAAUGCUUCCAGGUUGGAAGGCUGUGUGAGCAGCGCCAAGGAAAUGGCAAGGCGUUCCAGAUAAUUAUGCUUUAGUAGAGCUUAAUCAAAGAAGCCGUGGACUCUGCUAGCACCAGAGGCGUCCUGCAGAUGUAUUGAUUUCCACUCUGAAAGCCAUAUCUGUGUGCUGGAGCAUGUAGAGAAACAAAAAGGCAGGAUUGUGAAUCCUGGCUGGAAGACAGUUGGGAUAAGCUUGAUAAAUCAAUGUACAAAUGGGCUGUUUUAUUUUUCAGGA